AUGCAAGGUCCUCCUGUUCACAGUGGCCCCGCACCCAGCAGGCGAGCAGUUCCAUGCAAGUCACAUGCCCACGUGCCGGCCUAUCCCUACCCCUGGACCCACCAGGAACUCUCUGGAAGAAGCCUCCCAGAGGACAGAGCCCUCCAAACUCCCGCUGAGGCUUCCUUCCUGGUCUCCCCUUCCCUCCCUCCCUCCUGCCCUUCCUCCCUUCCUUCCUUCCUCCCUCCCUCUGCCUCUAUGCCUUCCCCUCUGAGUAAACACAGCCCUGUGGCGAGGCCCGCCAUGUUCUCGGAGAGCUGCACAUUGCCACCUGUUGCUAUGGAGAAGCCUCUUUAUCACAAACACUGGGAGGAUCCAAGUACAGGAUGGACAAGUGGCAGCCCAGUCCUCAUCUGUUCCCCGCCCCUGCACACACCAGGAGUGAUGGAAUGCCACAGACCCAGGCUCUCUGCUCCCCAGCCUGACUCCCAGAUCCAUAACAUUUUCGACGUGAACAGUCUUCAGAGGUGCAGCCUGAAGCCGCAGGGAAAUGAACUUGGUGCCCCCCCUUGCCCCACCCCCAAGACCCCCAAGGAGAAGCUGUCUCCAGGAAAGGUGGGGGGAAAAAAAGCCAGAGAGACAAA
rnacentral:lncRNA from 1 species